UGGGAUAGCUCAGCUAGUACAGCAUGAGACUCUAAACCUCAGGGUCAUGGGAUCAAACCCUACGCUGGGAAAAG